GAUGAAGAACGCAGCGAAAUGCGAUAAGUAGUGUGAAUUGCAGAAUUCAGUGAAUCAUCGAGUCUUUGAACGCACAUUGCGCCCCCUGGUAUUCCGGGGGGCAUGCCUGUCCGAGCGUCAUUGCUGCCCUCAAGCACGGCUUGUGUGUUGGGCCCCGUCCUCCGAUCCCGGGGGACGGGCCCGAAAGGCAGCGGCGGCACCGCGUCCGGUCCUCGAGCGUAUGGGGCUUUGUCACCCGCUCUGUAGGCCCGGCCGGCGCUUGCCGAUCAACCCAAAUUUUUAUCCAGGUUGACCUCGGAUCAGGUAGGGAUACCCGCUGAACUUAAGCAUAUCAAUAAGCGGACGA
rnacentral:misc_RNA from 1 species